CACCUUGGUAUCCCCAGGUGAGAUGUGUUUGUAUGGACCGCUGUCCUCAUCGUCAGGAGGACGUGGUUUGAGAAUGGCCGGUUGAGGCAUUUUCCCGUCCCAGGUGGACAAGAACAUGAGGAGAUUCAUGACUUCACCCUGUCAGAGCAAAACGUACACGGUGAGAGUGUCCUGCACAAUACCCAUGACGGGUCUGUUGGACUGGGGCGUAACAAUCAUACGUGGCACCAUGGCCAGCUCCUGAAUCUCUGCCCUGGUCUCCAGGGACUGAGGCAGGUGAAGGUUCAUCUCAUCCCCAUCAAAGUCAGCAUUGUAUGGGGUGGUGACACUGAAGGCAGAAAAGAGAAUAGGAUGUUGGAGAUGAUGAUGCUUCUUUUUUUUUUUUUGCACAUGGAUUAUAGCUGUUUCUGUUGAACCAAUCAAACUUACAUAAAACGUAAGGAAUAUUCUGAAGCGUGCACUCAAGUGCUAAAUAAAUUACUUCUGUGACAAGCAA